rnacentral:rRNA from 1 species
AUUGAACGCUGGCGGCAUGCCUUACACAUGCAAGUCGAACGGCAGCACGGGGGCAACCCUGGUGGCGAGUGGCGAACGGGUGAGUAAUACAUCGGAACGUGUCCUUUCGUGGGGGAUAACCAGUCGAAAGACUGGCUAAUACCGCAUGAGAUCUCACGAUGAAAGCGAGGGACCGCAAGGCCUCGCGCGAUUGGAGCGGCCGAUGUCGGAUUAGCUAGUUGGCGGGGUAAAAGCCCACCAAGGCGACGAUCCGUAGCUGGUUUGAGAGAACGACCAGCCACACUGGGACUGAGACACGGCCCAGACUCCUACGGGAGGCAGCAGUGGGGAAUUUUGGACAAUGGGGGCAACCCUGAUCCAGCCAUGCCGCGUGUGUGAAGAAGGCCUUCGGGUUGUAAAGCACUUUCGGACGGAACGAAAUCGCCCGUGUUAACAGCGCGGGUGGAUGACGGUACCGUAAGAAGAAGCACCGGCUAACUACGUGCCAGCCGCCGCGGUAA